rnacentral:rRNA from 1 species
AGUGAACGCUGGCGGUAGGCCUAACACAUGCAAGUAGAACGGCAGCACAGUAAGAGCUUGCUCUUACGGGUGGCGAGUGGCGGACGGGUGAGGAAUACAUCGGAAUCUACUUUUUCGUGGGGGAUAACGUAGGGAAACUUACGCUAAUACCGCAUACGACCUACGGGUGAAAGCAGGGGAUCUUCGGACCUUGCGCGAUUGAAUGAGCCGAUGUCGGAUUAGCUAGUUGGCGGGGUAAAGGCCCACCAAGGCGACGAUCCGUAGCUGGUCUGAGAGGAUGAUCCGCCACACUGGAACUGAGACACGGUCCAGACUCCUACGGGAGGCAGCAGUGGGGAAUAUUGGACAAUGGGCGCAAGCCUGAUCCAGCCAUACCGCGUGGGUGAAGAAGGCCUUCGGGUUGUAAAGCCCUUUUGUUGGGAAAGAAAAGCAGCAGGUUAAUACCCCGCUGUUCUGACGGUACCCAAAGAAUAAGCACCGGCUAACUUCGUG